rnacentral:antisense_RNA from 1 species
ACAAGAGCUAGGACAGGAGUAGCCGCAGAGCUCGUAAUUGCUGUGGGGAGGACAGGCCAGCUCUGGAAGAAAACAGGUGGACCUGGGUCCCAUUAACCUGGACGGACACCUCCGAGAUGAGCGUGAGGGGGCUGCUGGAUCUGUUCUCCUUUCCCAGCUGUACCCUGAAGAAUGGCAGUGAGCUGGAGGAGCCACAGGAUUCGGCAAAGACAGACACACAGCUGAGUCCGGCUACCCUGGCGUUGGAGCGCGAGGAGCACAGCAGCCGCCACGUCCCUUCCGUCUUGUCAAAGACCAUGAGCCGAGCGUCCGCAGAGCUGACCUGCACUGCAGGGCGACAGGGCCCGGGGCCGCCUGGGUCCCACAGCCAGGCUCCCCACGCGCUUCCCCAGCCGGAGCCCCUCCUGGCCUGUGCUCCAGCCAUGUGGUGUAGACGUGAACCCCAGCCCAUCGGAGGGUUGCAGCCCCCUCAUCUGCGAUUGCAUCUGGAAUCAUGACUCAAGGACUUUUUUUUUUUUUAAGACAGGGUCUCCCUCUGUUGCCCAGGCUGGAGUGUAGUGGUGUGAUCUUGGCUCACUGUAGCCUUGACCUCCCAGACUCAAGAAAUCCUCCUACCUCAACCUCCUGAGUAGCUGGGACCACAGGCGUGCACCACCACACCUGGCUAAUUUUUUUUUUUUUUUUUGUAGAGACGGGUCUUGCCAUGUUGCCCAGGCUGGUCUUGAACUCCUGGGCUCAAGCAGUCUUCCUGCCUCAGCCUCCUAAAAUGCUGGGAUUACAGGUGGAAUUACAGAGCACCAUGGCACUCUGCCAGACUCAAGGACUCAGGUCGGACCAAUCAACAGCAGCCUUGGGGCUGUGGCCGAGAACUUCACUCUCCAUUAGAAGUCCUAAGUUGGCUGCUCA